AGUGAACGCUGGCGGUAGGCCUAACACAUGCAAGUCGAACGGCAGCACAGUAAGAGCUUGCUCUUACGGGUGGCGAGUGGCGGACGGGUGAGGAAUACAUCGGAAUCUACUUUUUCGUGGGGGAUAACGUAGGGAAACUUACGCUAAUACAGCAUACGCCCUACGGGUGAAAGCAGGGGAUCUUCGGACCUUGCGCGAUUGAAUGAGCCGAUGUCGGAUUAGCUAGUUGGCGGGGUAAAGGCCCACCAAGGCGACGAUCCGUAGCUGGUCUGGGAGGAUGAUCAGCCACACUGGAACUGAGACACGGUCCAGAGUCCUACGGGAGGCAGCAGUGGGGAAUAUUGGACAAUGGGCGCAAGCCUGAUACAGCCAUACCGCGUGGGUGAAGAAGGCCUUCGGGUUGUAAAGCCCUUUUGUUGGGAAAGAAAAGCAGCAGGUUAAUACCCCGCUGUUCUGACGGUACCCAAAGAAUAAGCACCGGCUAACUUCGUG
rnacentral:rRNA from 1 species